AAAGAGGACAUACAAAAUUUGGAAUUUAAAAAUUUAUUAUUAUUAUAAUUUAUAGUUAAAAAAAGAAAAAUUUACUUUCUAUUAAUAUUUAGUGGUUUUCUUUAAGUAGUUUUCUGUGCAAGUUGUAAUUAGACUAUUCUUUUGUUUCGGUUUAUAUAUAUAUAUUAUUGUCUUUAUGAAUUUUAAGAAGCUAGUAUAUUUGGUGAUUAAUAAUUUUUAAUUCAUUAAAUUUAUUAAUUAUAGGAGAAUAUAUUGUAUUUAUAAACAAAUAAUUAAAUUAAUAUUUUAAUAAGCGAAGUAAUAAUUAAAAUUUGUAUUUAUUCAAAAUGCUUAAAGUACAUUUAAAAUCUAGACUCUAAUUUUUAUUUUAUUUUUGUAAAUGUUGAUGAUUCAGAAAGUGUUCUCUUUUUUUUUUUUCUAUCUAAACUUGAUUUUAGUCCAUUAAAUAUUUUACAAGUUUAGUUCAAAAGCUAGGCCGUAAAUUCAGAACUAAUAAAGUUAAGAUUCAAGUUCUUAGCUCGUUCCUCCCAUUUUGAUACGUGAUGUGAGCUCAUUUUGCAUGUUUUUAGCUCGUUCCUCCCAUUUUGAUACGUGAUGUGAGCUCAUUUUGCAUGUUUUAGCUCAUUUGAUUUGAGUUUUUAAUUUAUAAUUUUUACAUUUUGUUUAGUUAAAAAUUAUAAAAUUUAUAGAUUUGUUUGAAGAAAUUUAUUUAAAAAUUGUAAAAUUUAUAAAAUUUAUUUUUGUGUUAAAGUUUGUGUACUUUUGAAUAAAUUUGAUAGCUCAUUUUAAUUAAUUAAUUAUAUAACACAUAUUUAAUUAGUCAUGCAGGAAGUAAGAAUAAAUAUUUAAUUAAUUAUGUAACAAAUAUUUAAUUAAUUAUGUAACAAGCAAGAUCAUACAAUUAUGAUUAUAAAGAGAAAAGACUUAAAAAUUAUUCGUUUAACAAAAAUGGAGGCCAUAGAGGCAAUCGGUUAUUCAAGUCCAACCUCCAUUGAUUGGCUCAAUGCAGAGCCGAUGGGAUGGGCUCAACACAGAGCUAAUUGGUUCAGCAUUGAGUCGAUUGGCUCUAGGGUUUCAAGUCGGUUUUUAUCAAUUCGUCAGUAUAUUUUUAUAUUUCCAAAGCCAGAUAGUAAAAUUAAUUAGAAUUUGAAAUAAAAUAAAAUAAAUAACUAGAAUUUGAAAUAAAACAAAAUAAAUAACUAAUUGAAAAUAACAAUAAUUAGUUCAACGGUUGAAAAACUCUAAACCAACGUUUAUUGGAAAAAGCAACUCCAAAGAUUUGAAACCAAAAGCGGUUAAGAAAAAUCUAAAAUUGAAACCAAAAAAGCGAUUAAGAAAAACCUAAAAUUGAAAGUACAAUAAUCAAACAAAUGGCAAAUCAAUCAUGUAAUGAUAUGAAACACAUUAAAUUACUUAAUUAUAAUAGAAAGAUCGCUAAACAAUUAAUCAUAUGACGAUGUUUCUAAUUAGAUUCAAAAUUUUCAUUGGCAAAAUAUCAUAUUUUAAAAUUUUAGAGUUCUUAUUAUCAAAUUUAAAAUUCAAUAAUCAUGCAUAUUUAUAAAAAUUCUAACCUAAUCAUAUAUCGAUCAUAAAUUAUAAUCCUAAUAAUGUUUCUAAAAGCAAAUAACAAAAGAUAUAAAAAAUGAACGAAUGACCCAAUUUCUGGGAUGAUGAUGGAUGCAUGAUUGAAGGAACCUCAGGUUUUCUAGGAUGAUGAUGGAUGCAUGAUUGAAGGAACCCUCAGGUUGUCAUUAUAGUUCAUGGAUUUGCGAGUCUCAGGUGAUGAGGAUGUAAUUAAGUCAAAAACCGGGUAGGAAUUUAAUGCUAGAUCUGGUGCAGAGAAAUCUCAUGUUAAUUUAGAAAUAAGUUUCCAAAUAUAGGUUCUUUCUUUAGUGUCUUAUUUCCUAAAACUGUUAUUUCUUAGUGGUUUGAAUCUUUUACUGUCAACUAAAAACGAUAAUGUUUUUCUUUCUUCUCUCUGGUUUUUUUCUUUGUGUUUUUUUCAGUGUCUCUUAUGUAUCAAUCUCAUUUAUUGCCAAGUCUUAGCUGUAAAUUGUUGCCCUAAACCCGAAUCACUUUUCUCUAUUUAUAGAGGUAGGGUUUCAAGGGAAACCCUAAAUGAGACAAUAGUUUUUAGGAAGAUAUCGAUAAAUAUUUUUUAUUUUUUAAAUUUAAAUAAUUAUCAAUAAAAAUGAUGAUUAUCGUUAAGAAAAUCUUCUAGAAUAUGUAUCUAGACUUGAAAACAUCGUACAAAGAUAAUGUCAGAAUGCAAAAGACCCAUAUGUAUAGGAGUUUUAAAAAUUGCAAUUAGGUCCUUAAACUUAUGAAAAUUAUUAUUUUGACCCUCAAAUUUAAUCUUUUUAACAAUUAGGUUCAAAUUAAUUUUAAAAAGAUAAUUCCAGUUGGAUUAACCUAAACUCUAGCCUUAGAUUCACCUAUCCUUUAUUUUCCAAGAUCCGAGAAGGCAGUAACUUUCAUCAUAGGAUUUUUUAUCUUUCUCUCGAUAUAUAGAUCCGAAAAAAGGAUGCUGACAGCUGCUCCCAAUUCGUCGAAAUUUAUGAGCAUGCAAUGCGUUAAAUAGAUUGAGACAAAUUAUAGGCAUCAAGGAUAUAAUAAACGGAUAUGUGAGCUGUAGAAGCUACGCCUCGUAAACUUAAAAUUCUAUCGCUUAUUCGAUGUGGGGGCUACGCCCGCUUGGGUUGAGGACUUUGCUUACUUAUAUUGAGGACUUCGCCUGUUUGGGCUGAGGACUUCGACUUUUGGGUUGAGACUUCGCCUGCUUCGGUUGAGGACUUCGCCUGCUUAGGUUAAAGACUUUGCCUGCUUCGAUUGAGGACUUCGGCCGCUUGUAUGUUUGAGGACUUUGCCUACUUGUGUGUUUGAGGACUUCACCUAGUUUAAUUGAGGACUUUGCCCAUUUUGAUUAAAGGAUUACGCAUGUUUGAUUUAGGAAUGACGCCCAUUGAUUAUGGGAAGCACUCCCAUCUGAUUUGGGUGCCACGCCCGAUAUUUAGGAACCAUGCCCAUUGAUUUGGGAACCAUGCCCGUAUGAUUUGGGAGGCACGCCUGAUGAUUUAGGGACCACGCCCGUUGAUUUGGGAACCACAUCCGCUGAUUUUGGGAGCAUGCCUACUGAUUUGGGAACCACGCUCGUUGAUUUUGUACUUGCAAAGACUUUCCUUUGACUUCUUGAUUACUUUUUGCUUUGGGAUACAAAUAUGUUGUAAUUUUUACUUCAGGUUGUGAAUUAGCAUGUACUUUACUCUCUCAAAUAACUUCCGCUUUGGGAUAUUAAUUGAUGAUCUUCCACUGAUUGUAUUCUAUUCUAGGAUGAUGAUUAUUUCGCUUCGGGAUAUAAAUUGAUGAUCUUUAACUUUGAAAAGUAAGCUUGAUAAUAUUCGCUUGAGGAAGUAAAUUGAUAAACUUUUUCUUCGAGAACUAAACUGAUGCAUCUCCGCUCUGGAAGGGCAUGGAGCCAAAUGGUUGAUAGAAAAUGAUGAAGACGAUGAUGCAUAUCAAAAAUUUGAAAGUCAUGGUGACAAUAGGAAGUGCGGAUCUAGAGAUAACUCAAGCAUGCAAGGACUAAAUUAUUUUGCCUUGUGGUUGUACUAACAUUUGUGCAAUGACAAUUGGCUUCGUGACAAUCUCAUGCAGAUAGCAAUCAAAUCUCUUUUCUUUUCUUACUUUUACGCCAUAACUUUUGUCUAAGCCGCCCUUUCAGGUUUUCAACUUAGUAGACUUUUGUCUUAACUUUUGCCCGAGCUGCCCUUUCGGGUUUUCAGCUUACUAGACUCUAUUUCUACCUAAGCCGUCCUUUUUUUGGAUUUUCAACUUAGCGUAUUCUUUUCUUUAUAUUUUUCUUUAUUUUCUCAUUUUCUCUUUUUACAGUCUUGGUUACUCAAGAAGCUCCAACUAGUGGUAGUUCUAAGAGACAUUACCAAGUAUGAGCUAGAGCAUUUGCAGACUCGCGUCACUAUCAAGCAAAGAGCUGAUUUCACUGGUGAGGAUUAAGUUGACUGGAUGAAGAGCUUGCCAGACACCCUUAUCCAAUGGAUUUUCCCUUGGUGGAAGAUUUGACAUAUCACUCUUCGAAUAUACGUGGCAUGUGUUCUUUUGUCAAGACUUUGAGAGUCUACUUUCUAUACCCAAUCCAGGCUCUCAAGUCAAUAGCUUAUUCUAGAAUAUCCACCUAACUUCGAAGGUUUCCCAUGGAGGCAAGAUCGAUAAGUUGUGGCUUGAUGAGUGAGUGUGAUGUCAUGAUUGAUGAAGUGCUAUAAAUUCUCAAAUUUUUCCACGAGAAAUACAAGAACAUAAGUCAAAGAAAAAAUGAUCUUGCUUCUAUUUAGAUCUCAUAGAUUAUGCUUUUUAUUUUACUUUUUUUCUUCUAGUAAUAUGCAAGCAAUGAAAGUUAAUGUGCAAAUUUGGCAAAAAUUUCAAUCAAAUUUUGUUCAUUUAAUCUGCGCACAAAUGGGUAUAUUUUUUAUUUCACAUAA